rnacentral:rRNA from 1 species
UGGGGAAUAUUGGACAAUGGGGGAAACCCUGAUCCAGCCAUGCCGCGUGAGUGAAGAAGGCCCUAGGGUUGUAAAACUCUUUCACGGGGGACGAUGAUGACGGUACCCCGAGAAGAAGCCCCGGCUAACUCCGUGCCAGCAGCCGCGGUAAUACGGAGGGGGCUAGCGUUGUUCGGAAUUACUGGGCGUAAAGCGCGCGUAGGCGGUUUGCCGAGUCAGGCGUGAAAUCCCCGGGCUUAACCUGGGAACUGCGUUUGAUACUGGCAGACUAGAGGCCGGGAGAGGGUAGUGGAAUUCCCAGUGUAGAGGUGAAAUUCGUAGAUAUUGGGAAGAACACCAGUGGCGAAGGCGGCUACCUGGACCGGUUCUGACGCUGAGGUGCGAAAGCGUGGGGAGCAAACAGG